rnacentral:lncRNA from 1 species
UUUUCCUGACUUUGGACUGUUCCGACUGUGAACCUUAUACCAUGCUCUUUUGUAAAAUUGCGUCUUAAAGUAGAUAUUCUUCAAUAUAAUCCCUUUCUCUUGCUCUCUCUCUCUCUAAUUUUUCUUCCUUUUUUGGGUUUUUUUUCUGUUUGUUGUUUUUUUCUUUUUUUCUUAACUCAAGUAAAAUCUUCUUUCUACAAACUCUUACAUUCUCCAAGUAGAUUAAUUCCCUAAUUUAAACUAACCAUGAGCAAUCAGAGAUGGACUUGUUCCAAGGUUAUAGUGUCGGCUCGAGUUUGGGUGCCAAAGAAGG